CAGGAUAAGCUGCAGUGUUAGAGCUGCAGCUCUCCCCCACGUGGAUGUUUGUGGCCCAGAGACACGGGCCCAUCUUUAAGGCCCAGAGACACGGGCCCAUCUUUAAGGCCUAACUCCUGCUGAUCCUAAUGGGCCCGACAGUGGCAAACUGCUUGCACAGAAAUGCUCCUUCACAUUCGAACACUGGAUUCCCUCUAAUGAAAAACCACAUCAUGAAAUCUCUGAAAGGCCAAAAAAAAAAAAAAAUCAUAGCAUCACUGAUUUUCGUUAUAACUGUCACACCAUGGAUUCAGCUCCUUCAACCAUUUGUUAUAAGCCAUCUGAAACGGAUCUCUGUCCAUCUAGAGCUCAGGAGGAACUAGGGGGAGUUUGGCCUGACACUCAGCAUGUUUGGCACAUAGACCUGGGAGACUCCAGAGGCAAGAUGCUUACUUCCCUUCUCCUUGCUAUGCCUCAUGUAAUGGCAUGGCAACAGAGACGGUGUGACACGCAGAUCCCAGUUCUCU
rnacentral:lncRNA from 1 species